GGCAAGAUGGCCGAGUGGUCUAAGGCGCUGUGUUCAGGUCGCAGUCCGAAAGGGCGUGGGUUCGAAUCCCACUCUUGUCA
rnacentral:tRNA from 4 species